rnacentral:rRNA from 1 species
ACAGAGGUGGCUAGCGUUGUUCGGAUUCAUUGGGUGUAAAGGGUGCGUAGGCGGUUUGGAAAGUCAGAUGUGAAAUCCUACAGCUCAACUGUAGAACUGCAUUUGAAACUCCCAGGCUAGAGUGUGAGAGAGGUGAAGGGAAUUCCCGGUGUAAGGGUGAAAUCUGCAGAGAUCGGGAAGAACACCAGUAGCGAAGGCGAUUCACUGGCUCGCAACUGAUGCUGAGUGCACGAAGGCGUGGGGAGCAAACGG